rnacentral:ncRNA from 2 species
UCCUCCGCGAGGAGGAAUCUGAAGGAAGCCGGCGGUAAAUCUCUGGCCUGACGAACAGGAAGCGAAUUAGGCAGUUGGAUGUGGGUGAGUUUGCAUAACAAAACAAAGCCCUAAACUAUCCGAAACAUCCUGCUGUACAUUCGACAGGUAUAUGGAGAGAAAGUUUGCGUU